AUGCCUAGCACGUCUAUUUACCCACUUAAAACAGGUGCAAGGGCAUGACAGAGCUGUUCAUAUAUGGCAAUCAAGGAAAUGACUUUAUUUCAGUAAUAAGCACACUGUACUUAUCCUGUUGCUAUGUCACACUGGAGAACACCAGAAUUUAUCACAUUUCGCAGAAGGGCAGCAGCAGCUUUCAGAAAGUUGGUGACCACCACCACUGCCUUCCUGCUAGCAGCUGAUAAAUGCUGGCAGCCCAUCCGCCAACUUUUGUGGCAGUCAAGUGGACCAGAGGAGCCGGGAACAGUGUUCAAACAUGCACACAAAGCUGGGGCAGGCGGGCAGGUGAGGCACCCCAGCAGCAGUUGGCCCUGUGCUCUGCACCUCUGAGGAUCCAGUCACGCUUACACAGCGGCUUGGCCUACGCUACGCUGGAUUCCAUUGUGGUGGAUUUCUCACAGGAGCAAGAAAGCUACCAUUCUGCCUCAACCUGCCAUGAGAGAAAAGUUCUCGCUUCAAUUACACCCAAACUCCUAAGAUCAGCUAAUACCAACCACACAUAGCACA